UUUAAUUCGAAGCAACGCGAAGAACCUUACCAGGUCUUGACAUCCGCUGACAACCUUGGAGACAAGGCAUUCCCUUCGGGGACAGCGUGGCAGGUGGUGCAUGGUUGUCGUCAGCUCGUGUCGUGAGAUGUUGGGUUAAGUCCCGCAACGAGCGCAACCCUUGAUUCUAGUUGCCAGCAUUCAGUUGGGCACUCUAGAGUGACUGCCGGUGACAAACCGGAGGAAGGUGGGGAUGACGUCAAAUCAUCAUGCCCCUUAUGACCUGGGCUACACACGUGCUACAAUGGAUGGUACAAAGGGCAGCAAGACCGCGAGGUUAAGCAAAUCCCAUAAAACCAUUCUCAGUUCGGAUUGCAGGCUGCAACUCGCCUGCAUGAAGCCGGAAUCGCUAGUAAUCGCGGAUCAGCAUGCCG
rnacentral:rRNA from 1 species